rnacentral:sRNA from 1 species
GCUGGGUGUGGUUGCACUCACCUGUAAUCCCAGUGGUUUAGGAGGCUGAGUCAGGAGGAUCAUGAGUUCAAAGUCAGCCUCAGCAAGUUAGCAAGGCCCUUAAGCAACUUAGAGACCCUGUCUCUA